CCUUUGACGUUAGCGGCGGACGGGUGAGUAACACGUGGGUAACCUACCUAUAAGACUGGGAUAACUUCGGGAAACCGGAGCUAAUACCGGAUAAUAUUUCGAACCGCAUGGUUCGAUAGUGAAAGAUGGUUUUGCUAUCACUUAUAGAUGGACCCGCGCCGUAUUAGCUAGUUGGUAAGGUAACGGCUUACCAAGGCUACGAUACGUAGCCGACCUGAGAGGGUGAUCGGCCACACUGGAACUGAGACACGGUCCAGACUCCUACGGGAGGCAGCAGCU
rnacentral:rRNA from 1 species